GGAACCGGAAGCCGAGGGUAGAACUACGCCAAGAUGGAAGAGAAGACUCCUUAACCUGAAUCUUUAUGGUUCCUUUGGCGAGAGCGGCUUAAAGAACACGCUGGCCCGGGAGGCCUUCGGGACCUCACUUUGUACUGGGUGCUCUGUGGCGGCUGCGUUCCUUAGGCGUUCGCGGACUCGGAACCAAAGCCCUAGACGCCGGAGGGGAAAAGACAGCAGGAAAUGACCCUCCCACUCCCAGUGACAGAGAGCCGGAGGUGACGUACUACGUUAACGCAGCAGCGGCGACGGUGGUGGUGGUGGUGGCGGCGGCUGCGGAGGGCCCUUGCGGUGGGUCCGGACUAUCCUUUUGCAGUCUCUGAUCGGCGACUCCAUUUUCUUCGGUGGGAGCUUAGCGUAGCGGAGAAGCAGCGGCCUUCAAGCAGUCUUCAAGGAGGCUGUGAGAAGCAGCAACAAUGUCUGAUUUUGUGGAAAGUGAGGCCGAAGAGUCAGAAGAAGAAUACAAUCAUGAAGGCGAGGUGGUACCUAGAGUCACCAAGAAGUUUGUGGAAGAGGAGGAUGAUGAUGAGGAGGAGGAAGAGGAGAAUCUAGAUGAUCAAGAUGAGCGAGGCAACCUCAAAGACUUUAUCAAUGACGAUGAUGAUGAAGAAGAAGGGGAGGAGGAUGAGGGCAGCGACUCUGGGGACUCAGAAGACGAUGUUGGCCACAAGAAGAGAAAACGCCCAUCUUUUGAUGACCGCCUGGAAGAUGAUGAUUUUGACCUCAUUGAGGAGAAUUUGGGUGUUAAAGUCAAACGAGGACAAAAAUACCGACGUGUCAAAAAAAUGUCUGAUGAUGAUGAAGAUGAUGAAGAGGAAUAUGGCAAAGAGGAACACGAGAAGGAGGCCAUUGCAGGGGAAAUCUUCCAAGAUGAAGAAGGGGAAGAAGGCCAGGAGGCUGUAGAGGCCCCCAUGGCCCCUCCUGACGAGGAGGAGGAAGAUGAUGAGGAGUCAGACAUUGACGAUUUCAUUGUGGAUGAUGAUGGACAGCCUCUGAAAAAACCCAAAUGGCGAAAAAAGCUCCCUGGAUAUACAGAUGCAGCCCUGCAGGAAGCCCAGGAGAUCUUCGGUGUGGACUUUGACUAUGAUGAAUUUGAGAAAUACAAUGAAUACGAUGAAGAACUGGAAGAAGACUAUGAGUACGAGGAUGAUGAGACUGAAGGUGAGAUCCGAGUGCGCCCCAAGAAGACCACCAAGAAACGUGUGAGUCGCAGGAGCAUCUUUGAGAUGUACGAGCCUAGUGAGCUGGAGAGCAGCCACCUCACAGACCAGGACAAUGAAAUCCGAGCCACUGACUUGCCUGAGAGGUUCCAGCUCCGCUCCAUCCCAGUCAAGGCAGCUGAGGAUGAUGAGCUAGAAGAGGAAGCUGACUGGAUCUAUAGAAAUGCCUUCGCAACACCGACCAUCUCCCUCCAGGACAGCUGUGAUUACCUAGACCGUGGGCAGCCAACUAGUAGCUUCAGUCGUAAAGGGCCCAGCACAGUUCAGAAGAUCAAAGAGGCCCUGGGCUUCAUGCGGAAUCAGCAUUUUGAGGUGCCUUUCAUUGCCUUCUACCGAAAGGAGUAUGUGGAACCUGAGCUGCACAUCAAUGACCUGUGGAGGGUGUGGCAGUGGGAUGAGAAGUGGACUCAGCUGAGAAUCCGCAAAGAGAACCUAACACGGCUGUUUGAGAAGAUGCAGGCUUAUCAGUAUGAGCAAAUCUCUGCUGACCCUGACAAACCUCUUGCUGACGGCAUCCGGGCUCUAGAUACUACUGACAUGGAGAGGCUCAAAGAUGUUCAGUCAAUGGAUGAACUGAAAGACGUCUACAACCAUUUCUUACUUUACUACGGGCGUGACAUCCCCAAGAUGCAGAAUGCUGCCAAGGCUAGCCGGAAGAAGCUGAAACGCAUAAAGGAGGAUGGCGAUGAAGAAGGUGAAGGUGAGGAGGCUGAAGAUGAGGAACAGAGGGGACCAGAGCUCAAGCAAGCCUCCCGCCGAGACAUGUAUACCAUCUGCCAGAGUGCCGGGCUAGAUGGCCUGGCCAAAAAGUUUGGCCUCACACCUGAGCAGUUUGGGGAGAACCUCCGUGACAGCUACCAGCGCCACGAGACAGAGCAGUUCCCUGCAGAGCCUUUGGAGCUGGCCAAAGAUUACGUGUGCAGCCAGUUCCCUACACCAGAAGCUGUGCUUGAAGGUGCCCGAUACAUGGUUGCACUACAGAUUGCCAGGGAGCCCCUUGUCAGACAGGUGCUGAGACAAACCUUUCAGGAGAGAGCCAAGCUAAACAUAACCCCAACCAAGAAAGGUAGAAAGGAUGUGGAUGAGGCCCACUACGCUUACUCUUUUAAGUACUUAAAGAACAAGCCUGUUAAAGAGCUGAGAGACGACCAGUUCCUCAAGAUAGGCCUGGCUGAGGAUGAAGGGCUGCUCACCAUUGACAUCAGCAUAGAUAUGAAGGGAGUGGAAGGGUAUGGUAAUGACCAGACAUAUUUUGAGGAGAUCAAGCAGUUUUACUACCGGGAUGAGUUCAGCCACCAAGUACAGGAAUGGAACCGGCAGCGCACUAUGGCCAUUGAGCGAGCUCUGCAGCAGUUCCUCUACGUGCAAAUGGCCAAAGAACUUAAGAACAAGCUGCUAGCUGAGGCCAGGGAGAGUGUUGUGAAGGCCUGUAGCCGAAAGCUCUACAACUGGUUGAGAGUGGCACCCUACCGUCCAGAUCAGCAGGUAGAGGAGGACGACGACUUUAUGGAUGAGAACCAGGGGAAGGGCAUCCGAGUCCUAGGCAUUGCUUUCUCCUCUGCCAGAGAUCACCCUGUGUUCUGUGCCCUAGUCAAUGGUGAAGGAGAAGUGACUGAUUUCCUCCGCCUGCCCCAUUUUACCAAGCGGCGAACUGCAUGGAGAGAAGAGGAGCGGGAAAAGAAGGCUCAAGAUAUUGAAACCCUAAAGAAGUUUCUUGUGAAUAAGAAGCCUCAUGUGGUCACUAUCGCAGGAGAGAACAGGGAUGCCCAGAUGCUGACUGAGGAUGUGAAGCGGAUAGUGCAUGAGCUGGACCAAGGCCAACAGCUGUCUUCUAUUGGGGUGGAGCUGGUUGACAAUGAGCUGGCCAUUCUGUACAUGAACAGCAAGAAAUCAGAGGCAGAGUUCCGGGAUUAUCCACCAGUUUUGAGACAAGCUGUCUCUCUAGCCCGGCGUAUCCAAGACCCUCUGAUAGAAUUUGCCCAGGUGUGCAGCUCAGAUGAAGACAUCCUGUGUCUCAAGUUUCAUCCCUUGCAGGAGCAUGUUGUGAAAGAGGAGCUGCUUAACGCCUUGUACUGUGAAUUCAUCAACCGGGUCAAUGAGGUCGGGGUGGAUGUCAACCGUGCCAUUGCCCAUCCUUACAGCCAGGCCUUGAUCCAGUAUGUCUGUGGCCUGGGACCCCGAAAAGGGACCCACCUGCUGAAGAUUUUGAAACAGAACAACACUCGACUCGAGAGCCGGACUCAGCUGGUCACCAUGUGUCAUAUGGGUCCCAAAGUCUUCAUGAAUUGUGCUGGCUUCCUCAAGAUCGACACUGCUUCUCUGGGGGACAGAAGUUACCAGCUCAGUCUUUGGAGGAUCUUUUCCACGGGCACAUAGCUCCUCAUUCAGUAAUGGAAGUCAGUGGGGAAAUAGGCUUCAAGUUCUAAAACUUCAUUUUCCACUCAGCUUUGCUGUAACACUCCACGAAUAACAUAGGCCCAUCACUGACUCAUACAUUGAAGUUCUUGAUGGCUCUCGAGUCCACCCUGAAACGUACGAGUGGGCCAGGAAGAUGGCAGUGGAUGCCUUAGAAUACGAUGAGUCUGCAGAAGAUGCCAAUCCUGCUGGAGCCCUUGAGGAAAUCUUGGAAAACCCAGAGCGGCUGAAGGAUUUAGAUCUUGAUGCCUUUGCAGAAGAACUAGAGAGACAGGGCUAUGGUGACAAGCACAUCACACUGUAUGACAUCCGAGCAGAGCUCAGUUGUAGGUAUAAGGACCUCCGGACAGCCUACCGCUCUCCUAACACAGAGGAGAUCUUCAAUAUGUUAACCAAAGAGACGCCAGAGACCUUCUACAUUGGAAAGCUUAUCAUCUGCAAUGUUACCGGCAUUGCUCACAGGCGCCCACAGGGUGAGAGCUAUGACCAGGCCAUCCGAAAUGAUGAGACAGGGCUGUGGCAGUGCCCCUUCUGUCAACAAGACAACUUCCCUGAGCUAAGCGAGGUCUGGAACCAUUUUGACAGUGGAUCAUGCCCUGGUCAGGCCAUUGGUGUGAAAACACGGCUAGACAAUGGCGUCACCGGCUUCAUCCCUACCAAAUUCCUCAGUGACAAGGUGGUGAAGAGGCCAGAGGAGCGAGUGAAGGUGGGGAUGACUGUUCACUGCCGGAUCAUGAAGAUCGAUAUUGAAAAGUUCAGUGCAGACCUGACCUGCCGGACCUCAGACCUCAUGGACAGGAACAAUGAGUGGAAACUGCCCAAGGACACCUACUAUGACUUUGAUGCGGAAGCUGCAGACCACAAGCAGGAAGAGGAUAUGAAACGAAAGCAGCAGCGGACCACAUACAUCAAGCGAGUGAUUGCACACCCGUCCUUCCAUAACAUAAAUUUCAAGCAAGCAGAAAAGAUGAUGGAGACCAUGGACCAAGGGGAUGUUAUCAUUCGGCCCAGCAGUAAAGGUGAAAACCAUCUGACGGUGACCUGGAAAGUCAGUGCUGGCAUCUACCAGCACGUGGACGUGCGGGAAGAGGGCAAGGAGAACGCCUUCAGCCUGGGAGCCACUCUUUGGAUCAACAGUGAGGAAUUUGAAGACUUGGAUGAGAUUGUUGCCCGCUAUGUCCAGCCCAUGGCUUCCUUUGCUCGAGACCUUCUGAACCACAAAUAUUACCAGGACUGUAGUGGUGGGGACCGAAAGAAAUUAGAGGAGCUGCUCAUCAAAACUAAGAAGGAGAAGCCCACCUUCAUCCCUUACUUCAUCUGUGCCUGCAAGGAGCUGCCCGGCAAGUUCCUCCUGGGAUACCAGCCCCGGGGUAAACCCAGGAUAGAAUAUGUAACAGUGACUCCUGAAGGAUUCCGGUACCGGGGCCAGAUUUUCCCAACUGUGAAUGGACUCUUCAGGUGGUUUAAGGAUCACUAUCAGGAUCCUGUACCAGGCAUCACUCCCAGUAGCAGUAACAGAACACGGACCCCUGCUUCUAUCAAUGCUACCCCAGCCAACAUCAAUCUUGCAGAUCUCACACGGGCUGUGAAUGCCUUGCCUCAGAACAUGACUUCACAGAUGUUCAGUGCCAUUGCUGCUGUGACAGGCCAGGGGCAGAACCCCAAUGCUACCCCAGCCCAGUGGGCAUCCAGCCAGUAUGGCUACGGUGGCAGCGGAGGAGGCAGCAGCGCCUACCAUGUGUUCCCAACACCAGCCCAGCAGCCAGUGGCCACACCACUAAUGACCCCAAGCUACUCCUAUACUACCCCGAGCCAGCCCAUUACCACCCCACAAUACCACCAGCUCCAGGCCAGCACCACCCCACAGUCUACACAGGCCCAGCCCCAGCCUUCCUCCAGCUCCCGACAACGGCAACAGCAGCCAAAGUCCAACAGCCAUGCAGCUAUCGACUGGGGCAAGAUGGCCGAGCAGUGGCUACAGGAAAAGGAGGCAGAACGACGGAAACAGAAACAGCGGCUGACCCCACGACCCUCUCCCAGCCCCAUGAUCGAGAGCACCCCCAUGUCCAUUGCUGGCGAUGCGACCCCACUCCUGGACGAGAUGGAUCGGUAGGGGGCCUGUUCCUCGGACUCUGGUUACCUCUGAAGCUCCCAAGAGGCCUGGCCACUUAUGGCCUCACUCCCUGCCCCUCUUUUUUUUUUGUCCAUAAAGUGGCGUGAAAUGACGUUCUUUUUAGUGGUCAGCCUGGCUGGAUGGUGGCCUUGUGAGCUGGUGUGCACCGAGCAGCAGCUGUUCCACUCCGGGCUUGUGCUAACCACCUGUUCUGGGGCCAGGCUGGGAGAGCAGUAUGGCAGGGAGGAGAGCAAAGGUGGAGCAGUCUGUAAUGUCUCUGGAAGCCCUCACCUGAGACAGGCCCUCAUGAGGCAUGCAGCUCAAUUGUCUAUGUCCCCAGCCUGUGUGGGGACACCGAUGCUAUUUAUUCAGUUUGGGGCAGGAGGGAAAGUAGCUCUGAUCCUGAUGGCAAGACCUUGGCUGUCAAAGCAGGACUGUGAGGGCCAUGUGGAGCAGUGCUGAGCUGCCAGCCCCUGCCUGCCUGCCUGCCUGCCUUCCCUCAUCACCUAACCUCACCUGCUUCUCGCCUGUCAUUUGAAUAAACAGUGUUUGUACAGAG